UGUUUCGUUCUUUAUGUGUUUCUCUUUAUCUUUUGUGUUUUAUUUUUAUUUUAUUUAUUUAUUUUGGGUUUGAGAAGCUUUUGAGUUUAUGGUGAUUGAUGACAGACCCUGAUGGAGAGAUUGCGAAGUUUGCUUUUUUAUUCUUAUUUUUAUUUUUUUUUCUUUUUGUUCCCAGCUGUUUCCAGAAUAUGUGUUGGUACAUAGAAUGUUGGACGACAAACUCCACCCGAUGACUUGGAUAUUGAUGGUUGGCUAGAUAUCAAUGACCUAGCCGACAUCUAUGCAAUUGGAUUGAACUGUUUUUCUUAGCACUGCUGAUGUUGAAGACAAUGACUUACUCUCACAAGGGUUUGGAGUGUAUUAAAAAUACCUUUUCAUAUCAAACCUCAGCUGUUGACAGCUUUUAAGUAAUGGCUUCCAAACAAAGAGGCAGCUGCAUAGGUGGAGGUUCCAAGUGGUCGACUCUCUUUCACUCUUUCUCAGGCAAAGCUUGCAUUUCUGAAAGAUUGUCAAUGAAGCUACAAAAUUCAGAUACCCAAGUGGAAACCAAUUUAACUGUGGAGGUGAAAACUUCACUUGUUUCAUUGCUUUGAAGCUUACUCACUUUGCAGUUCCUUGUAUAACAUCUUAGGCUUAACCAUAACAGUGCCCUAGGGUGUUGUAGGCCAUGGUGGACAUUACCACUCACAAUCUCCUGAAGCUUUUUUCUGUCAUGCUUCUGGUAUCAAAGUAAGUCUCAUCCUAAUUGAGAUAUUUUGCAUGAUAUUUAGGGUUUGAGUGAGUGGUGAUAAAUGCAUUUUCCCAUAAGUAAACAGCUCAACUAAUUGAAAUCAUGGGAUUUUACAUUUCAACAGUAACAUCUUACAAGUAUCCAGGUGCACAAAUGGUAUUGUUGUUAUUGCUUUUUUUUUUUUUUUGGUAUGAGAUUGGAAACUUGGUUUCUAUUAUUCAAUAGACUAGAUUACAUUCCAAGCCAAAUCUAAAUAGCAAUGCCUAAGUACUUGAGUGUAGCAUACUAUUAAUUACAUUUUUCAAAAACUUUCAUAAGAGCAACAAUUUUCUAGUAUUUUCUAGAGUUUGGGUCUUUACGACUGCUGAUAUACAUGUUCAACAUACUUGCUGACUUCUUUCCUGCCUUGGAAAAAAAAAAAAAAAAAACUGAUUUUUGAUUUACCCUGCACUACGUUUUGAAACCAAGCU